CUCCCUCCGCGGGACUUUCGCUUUCCUUUUCCGCGGUGCGCGCCGCUGUCGGGAACCGUGCGCGCUCAAGGCCGUGGAGAGGGGUGGGGGCUUCCAUUUGGGGGUCCCAGCACCCCAAAUCCCGGAUUGAGGGUCCCAGCCUGGGAGAAGCCGGCUUCCAAUUCCCCCUGCAGCGCGUUCCGCAGGUCAACUCCUCGCACCUUGGCCGGCCAGAGGAGAGAUCCAGCCCGGAGGGCGCGGCUCUUUCCGGGGAUCGGGGCCCUGGGCGCUGCGAAGCAGGCAGGGUCGGGGAUCGACUGAGCGCCGGAUCCACCCCCACCGAGUGAUGUCCGGGGGAUGGGGAGACCAGAGGAAGGCAGAGAAGCCCCCCCGACAAGUAUCCCGUAGCCAGGGGCACCCUCUGUGUUCGCAGCGCCGGGAGCAAGGUGAGGCAGAGAGCAGAGGUGGUUCACCGUCAAAGCGAACAUCGAGUCGGGCAGAGAAAGGCUCUCUGGACUUAGAGCCGCAGCCUUCGAAAUCGAACAGCCGCUAUUAUUCACCAAUGGGAGGAACCUCAAGCCAGACAAAAAACAACCCUCCACAGUCAGAGAUGCAGGGGCACUGGGAGCGAGGUGAGGCAGAGAGCAGAGGUGGUUCACAGUCAAAGCGAACAUCGAGUUGGGCAGAAAAAGGCUCUCUGGACUCAGAGCCACAGCCUUCGAAAUUGAACAGCCACUAUUAUUCACCAAUGGGAGGAACCUCAAGCCAGACAAAAACCAACCCUCCACAGUCAGAGAUGCAGGGGCACCCUCUGUGUUCGCAAGGUGAGGCAGAGAGCAGAAGUGGUUCACCGUCAAAGCGAACAUCGAGUCGGGCAGAGAAAGGCUCUCUGGACUCAGAGCCGCAGCCUUCGAAAUCGAACAGCCGCUAUUAUUCACCAAUGGGAGGAACCUCAAGCCAGACGAAAACCAGCCCUCCACAGUCAGAGGUGCAGCGCCGGGAGCAAGGUCAGGCAGAGAGCAGAGGUGGUUCACCGUCAAAGCGAACAUCGAGUCGGGCAGAAAAAGACUCUCUGGACUCAGAGCCACAGGACCAGGUUCAAGAGACGGCAGAGAGUGGAAGUUGCACCACGGCAAACGGAGCAUCAAGUCAGACAGAGGCGGGCUCUCUGGAGUCACAGCUGCAGACUUUGAGGGGUUCCUUGCACCCCUUGGCCUCCCAAUUCCUCCAGGCCCAGGAGGUGGUUGUCCGAAUCGCUGCCCAGCUGUUGGCCAACGAUCAGCCCCUGAGAAGCAGCCUGCCAGCCGCAAAGCCCAACCUGCUGGAAGCCAUCCAGCGGCUCCGUCAGCAGCUGAGCGAGCAAGAGGAGCUCGUUUUCCAGCUGCAGGAGAGAAAUCGGCAGCUUCAGAGCAUCCAGGAACAGCAAACAGCCCACAGGCUGGAAGAGAACCGGCAGCUGCAGGAGCAGAAAGAGGAAGUGUCCCGUCUGCUGAAGGAGAAGCAUCAAGUCCAGGAGAAGUUGGAGGACCAGGAAAAACUGGUGUCCGAGCUACUGGGAAAGAAUGGGGAGCUCCUGCAGGAGCUGGAGGAGAAGGACAUCCGAGUGUCACACCUGGUGCAAGAGAACGACUGGCUCCGUCAAGAGAAUGCGAGACUCCAGAGGAGCCCCGGAUCCCAGAGAUGGACUUCUUCCUCCUGGCCCAGUUCUGCUCCCGCACUCACAGCCUUCCCCGUGGAGGUCUGGACCACUGGGCAGACGGGAGGCUGCGAGAAGGACAUUGUCAACGACGUCUCCAAGUUCCUGGUGGGCCUCGGGAUCUCCCUCCAGCAGGAGGCUUAUGAAGAGAAGUCUGGCCGCUUCCUCCUCCUCUUCUGCCCUGUCUCCUCCCGCGUGGGCAGCGACACACUCUGUGCCCUGGCGGCGCUGAACAGAGUGCGAAAAGCCGUCUUGGUCGUCCUUCACCACAAGCCGAAGGGCAGCACCCAAGAGAUCUUGGACACCCAGCGGCAGGUCCAGCACGAAGCCCUGGUGCGCACGGUGCAUGCCUGCUACAGCAUCCAGGAUGGAUUCUACCCCUGCGAGAUGAACGAGGCCGCCGUGGCGUCCGUGGCAAAGGCUAUCCAGGAGCAGAGGAGCAGCUGAGCCACAGAUCCGGCACUCCGACUUCUGUAGGGUGGUUGAUUGCAGUGGGCAUGCAAAAUCGAGUUUUCGGGGAAUGAGGGUGCUCACGUUUUUCGGACAGACCUGGCCUGGCUUGCUACCUCCAGGCUGCCUCCACUCACCCUGGGAUGUCAUGAUAACGGGUGCAGAGCUCUCGGAAGAAGGUGUCUUGUCAGAGUCAGAGCCUCGGGUCCAUCUAAGUCUACACUGUCUACACAGGCUGGCAGGGUUCUCUCCCCGCCUUACCUGGAAAUGCCAGUGGAGAGUUUACCUUGAACCUUCUGCAGUCCAAGCAGGUGUCCUAGCACUGGGCUAUAGCUCUUCCCUCUCGGCACAGGGCUGGCUGCCUUCAGCCGGGGAGAACGUCACCUUGCAAGUUUCCAAAACCCACCGGCCCACUUCCAGCCGUGAUGGUACCUGGAGGGAGCUAAAAGCCAGUCUUUUUGCAGGAACUCUGCCUUACAAAACCACGUUGCUGGAACAGCUCUUGAAUCUGGUUGCUCCAGGAGAGAAGUGCAAAGUUUUAAAUUUUGAAAUCAGGGUUUUUUAGAAUUGCAAUUGGGGUUCAAGUGCCAAGGGGGUUGGUUGAGAAAUUUGGGUCACCCGUGUUCCCUCCCAGACAUCCAAAAUCUGCAGCCGACUUGCAAAUGUCCGACCAUGUGCAUAUGUGCUUUUCACACAAGGAGCACAUGCAACUGUGUGAAGGUUGUCACGGUUGCUAAACGUGCUGCUGCGCUGACGACGGAGACCUGAGCACCCUAUCUAGGCUUCUGCUAGUAUGUGUUUGCAUGGCUGGAUUUGUAUUGGUGAUGGGGGUCUUUUCGGCUUACUAAACCUCUAAGAGGAAGGUGUAAAAUUAGAGCUACACUUCAGGGGUGGUGUUGGGGUAGAGAAGGCAAAUUCGGGUCUGAUCCUACACCUGUAUUAGCAACUGUUGUGUCCCCAAUAUGAAAUAUGGAAAUAAAGCUAAUAAAUUGGGCUACUGAGCCACUGACUGCAUUUUUGUUCCCUACAAAAUCCAGCCUGUGAACGACCCUUUUUAUCACAGACCUGAGAGAUGGGCCUAUGGGUGCUGCGAAUUUGUAUUGUCAGCAAUGCGUUCUAAAAUAAUUUUCAGAACUGCGAGUGACUUUUCAGCCUGAGGAAGAGCAAAUACGGACACGCCAUACAUUUAAAGCAUAUUUUCCCUCCGUGGAAUCUAGUGGGGGCAAAUGCGCUUUAUAGUUAUGGCAUGUUUGCAGGCAGAGACCGUGAAAUAUUAUUUAGUGAACCUUGUUGUUUGUCUCUAUACAGUGGUACCUUGGUUCUCUAACGCCUUGGUACUCAAACAACUUUGAACCCAAACACUGCAAACCUGGAAGUAAGUGUUCCGGUUUGUGAACUUCUUUCGGAAGCCGAACGUGCUCCAUUUUAAGUGUUACGGAUCCGAUUUGAGUGCCACGCUUCCGUUUUGAGUGUUACGCUGAGGUCUGUCUGUUUUUGCUAUUUAUUUCGCAUUUUUGUUUUUGCGGCUCUUAUUUUUUUGUGACUGUGUGGAACCCAGUUCAGCUACUGACUGAUUGUGUGACUGCAGUACAUUGUUUAUUGCUUUCAUUUUAUGAAUCAAUGGUCUUGUUGGAUAGUAAAAUUCAUGUUCAAUUGCUGCUUUAGGGGUUGUUUUUAAAAGUCUGGAACGGAUUAAUCCGUUUUGCAUUCCUUUCUAUGGGAAAGCGUGCCUUGGUUUUGGAACGGACUUCUGGAACGGAUUAAGUUUGAGAACCAAGGUACCACUGUAUAUUAAAAGUGUGUUAAGGGCCAAGCUACAAAGGCAGGCACAUUUUGCAAGGUAGUAAUACACCUUCUAGGGAUGCGGGUGGCGCUGUGGGUUAAACCACAGAGCCUAGGACUUGCCGAUCAGAAGGUCGGCGGUUCGAAUCCCCGCGACGGGGUGAACUCCCAUUGCUCAGGCCCUGCUCCUGCCAACCUAGCAGUUCGAAAGCACCUCAAAGUGCAAGUAGAUAAAUAGGUACACCAGAAGCGGCUUAGUCCUGCUGGCCACAUGACCUGGAAGCUGUACGCCGGCUCCCUCGGCCAGUAAAGUGAGAUGAGUGCCGCAAGCCCAGAGUCGGCCACGACUGGACCUAAUGAUCAGGGGUCCCUUUACCUUUAAUACACCUGCUCAUUAAGUACACAAGCGCCAAGGGCCCAACUCGCAUGCCUGCAGUUACUGCUUAAUGACUGAAACAGAGAUUCAUAAAACUGUAGACUUGGAAGGGACCCUCAGCGGUCAUCUAUCCCAACCCUCCGCAAUGCAAGAAUCGCAGCUAAUGAACCCCCGGCAGUCGGCCACCGGACCUCUGUUUAAAAACCUCCAGGGGAGGAACAUCCACUUUCAGAGGGAGUCCAAUGGCUCUUAAGUCUCAGAAAGUUCUUCCUAAGGUUUCUCCUCUAGAAAACCAAACCUAGAGGAAACACACACACAGCACCAAUACGUCCCAGAGCGUUGGGCCUAAUAUAAUCUUUUAUUUCGGGUUCGGAUCGGCAAAGACCCAGCAGCAAAAACAGGGCAGGCGGUACAGUGUAAACUACUAAGACAGACGGACAGCGCUUGGCGGGCGAAGGUCCUCUG
ensembl:lncRNA